rnacentral:rRNA from 1 species
GUGCCAGCCGCCGCGGUAAAACGUAGGAGGCAAGCGUUAUCCGAAUUCACUGGGCGUAAAGCGCAUGCAGGCGGCCUGCUAAGUUGGCUGUGAAAUCUCCUGGCUCAACUGGGAGAGGCCGGUCAAUACUGGUAGGCUUGAGGGCGACAGAGGGAGGUGGAAUUCCGGGUGUAGUGGUGAAAUGCGUAGAUAUCCGGAGGAACACCAGAGGCGAAGGCGACCUCCUGGGUCGUACCUGACGCUCAGAUGCGAAAGCUAGGGGAGCGAACGGGAUUAGAAACCCCGGUAGUCCUAGCCGUAAACGAUGUAGACUGGGUGUCGGCGGGGUAAAAGCCGUCGGUGCCGAAGCCAACGCGAUAAGUCUACCGCCUGGGGACUACGGCCGCAAGGUUAAA